rnacentral:rRNA from 1 species
AUUGAACGCUGGCGGCAGGCCUAACACAUGCAAGUCGAACGGUAACAGGGAUCAGCUUGCUGAUUCGCUGACGAGUGGCGGACGGGUGAGUAAUGUCUGGGAAACUGCCUGAUGGAGGGGGAUAACUACUGGAAACGGUAGCUAAUACCGCAUAACGUCGCAAGACCAAAGAGGGGGACCUUCGGGCCUCUUGCCAUCGGAUGUGCCCAGAUGGGAUUAGCUAGUAGGUGGGGUAACGGCUCACCUAGGCGACGAUCCCUAGCUGGUCUGAGAGGAUGACCAGCCACACUGGAACUGAGACACGGUCCAGACUCCUACGGGAGGCAGCAGUGGGGAAUAUUGCACAAUGGGCGCAAGCCUGAUGCAGCCAUGCCGCGUGGAUGAAGAAGGCCUUCGGGUUGUAAAGUACUUUCAGCGGGGAGGAAGAGAGUAAAGUUAAUACCUUGGCUCAUUGACGUUACCCGCAGAAGAAGCACCGGCUAACUCCGUG